GCGCGAAAACUCCACAAUGUACGAAAGUACGAUGGGGUUACCUCGAGUGCAGCCUGUGGGAAUAAGAGGGGGGCAAGACUGGUGUCAGCCGCCGCGGUAACACCAGCCCCUCGAGUGGUGGGGACUUUUAUUUGGCCUAAAGCGUCCGUAGCUGGCUGUGUAAGUCCCCCGUUAAAUCCAGCGCCCUAAGCGUUGGACUGCGGGUGAUACUACAUAGCUAGAGGGUGGGAUAGGGGGGCGGUAUUUCUGGGGUAGGGGCGAAAUCCUUUGAUCCCAGGAGGACCACCAGUGGCGAAGGCUGCUCCCUAGAACACGCCUGACGGUCAGGGACGAAAGCUGGGGUAGCGAACCGGAUUAGAUACCCGGGUAGUCCCAGCUGUAAACGAUGCUAGCUAGGUGUUGGGUCGGCCACGUGCCGCCCCAGUGCCGCAGGGAAGCCGUUAAGCUAGCCGCCUGGGGAGUACGGCCGCAAGGCUGAAACUUAAAGGAAUUGGCGGGGGAGCACACCAGGCGUGAAGCCUGCGGUUUAAUUGGAGUCAACGCCGGAAAUCUUACCAGGAUCGACAGAGGGUGAAGGCCAGAUUGAAGGUCUUGCUAGACGAGCUGAGAAGUAGUGCAUGGCC
rnacentral:rRNA from 1 species